AUUACACAUCUUUGAAGAUCGCGUUCCUAUAUUUUUCAUGCUUUGUAGAUGGGUAUUCAAUCUCUCCAAGCAAUGGGUCAGUCUAGUUGGACCAAAUGAUCCCCAUGUCAAUGAUAGACCUCCAUAGGAUGCAUUGUGUGUUAUAGUCAUGAGCUUUGAACUACGGCCCAUGACAUUCUCCCCCACCCAUUCUCACAACGCCUUCGUUGCACCUUCGGAAUGGCACUAACUUGAUUCACCUUGGUCUCGUCUUGAUGCCUUAGCUUU
rnacentral:lncRNA from 1 species